GCCUCAAGGUAGCGUAAUAAUUAGUUUAGCAAUUCUAUCCAUGUAUGAAGAUAAAACAAUGAAGAUAUUUUUUCUCCCCUUAUAAGAAUUUUAAUUUUCAUUGAAAAUGAUGAAAUGAUUUAAAAAGACGAUAAGACCCUAGAAUCUUGACUGAGUUUUGUUGGGAUAACAAGUUUUAGUAAUAAAAUUGUUUCAACCUAAUAGUUGUGAACCAUAUUAACGUUUUAAGAAGAAGAUACUCUAGGGAUAACAGCACAAGUUUAUUUUAGAGCUCGAAUCGAAAAUAAGAUUGUGACCUCGAUGUUGAAUUAAAGUAGGGCAGCUGCAGGAGGUUAGCCAAGUUAAGUCUGUUCGACUUGAAAACUUUACAUGAUUUGAGUUAAGAUCGACGUAA
rnacentral:rRNA from 1 species